GUCUGCUUAAAGGCUGAGACCCUCGCCACCAGAGGAUAGAGGGUAGCCCAGUGAUGCGGCGGGAGACUUUAGGUAGCUCCUGCCUCGCUGGCCUCCAGCCUAUGUGUGCCCACCCUCCACGCGUCCCCAGCACCGCAGGGAAGCCAUCCGACGCGUUAACCUUUCCCUGGCUAUUCCAAGCAAGGCAAAGGGCCAAGCGUCUAAGACUCUGGUCGUCUCUGCACCUGGCAACAUGAAGACAACUAGAGGCCACCUCGGGGGCGGGGCACAAACGAAAUUCACGGGUAGAGGAAAAGGCAGAGGACACACUCCUAAGGGAAGAGGCAAGAGGAGCAGAACGGAGGAGGGGAAAGAGCAGAGCGUGAAAAGUCAAGGGCCUUUUUUGGUAGGAGGCCGGUGAUUAGGUUCUUGACUGAACAACCUGGCCUUCUAGAGAAAACCUUCCCACUGAGACAACUCUCCUGCUGGAGGGUCGUCUUUCAGAGCAGCGGCCUGCAGAAAGGAAGAGGUGUCAUCCUUGAAUGGAUCUAAUCAGAGAGGGUGCUGG
ensembl:processed_transcript predicted gene 14207